UAAGUCCACUUUGCAAUUAAUCUAAAACUAAAUGAGUUGCGAUUAGCUGAAUGAAGACAGAAAUCUAAUUGAGUUUCCUCUUUGGGACCCAAUUUCUAAUUCCACAAAGCGAUACGUCUCUUUCAUUUUCUCCUCCACAUUUCAAACACAGACACCUCCCCAUAUUUUCCAACACCACACCAGGAGAGAACAAAAACAUACUCCUAUCCUAUGGAUAGUCCUGUUAAGCUCCAAAGUUGUUGAAUCUGAUAAUGAUCAUCAUCAAGAUCAUCAAUAACUUAUUAUGGGUUUUUAAGGAUGCAUGUUUUUGGUGCUUCUUUUGUAUGAAAUUUGAUGUUGAGUUCAAUUCUUAUGAAGUCUAUUCUUAUUAUGGUUUUGCUUGCUCUCUCUCUUCUGCUGCUACCGGUGGUUUUGCCACCAUUACCGCCGCCGCCGUUCUUGUUCUUGUUUAUUCCGGUUUUUAUCAUGGGUCUGCUCAUUUUCUUGGCUUUAUCUCCUUCACAUGAACCUAAUAUAGCUGUCAAUACUGUUUGAUACAAAACAAGAAUUGAUCUCAUCUUGUGUCUUAAUUCAAGAAAAGCCUUGGAGGAUGGAUGGCUGGACGCAGCAAGAUUAAGCUCUCGGAGAGCCUCUCUCAGAAGAAGAAGAAGAAGAAGAAGAAGAAGAAGAAGAAGAAGAAGAUCGAAGAGUGAUAUCAGAUUUGCUAGAGUGUUUGAAGAUGUGAUCUUUCCAACAAAAGGGAUGAUAGAGCUCUUAAAGUGGAAGGAAUUUCCAUGUAAAAAACUCAUGUUCUACAAAGCAUAACAAUAUGACAUGGGGCAAGUGUCUUUGCCAAUUGGUGCAAGCGUUUAUGCCAAUUGGUGCAAGCAAAGAAAUAGUGAAGGCAAAGUGAAAUAUAGGCAAUUUUAGAACCCUAGCGACACAAUGCCUCCUGAAGAGUGUUCCAUAUUUAAUAGAGUUAUGCAGCGGGACAUCAACACCAAAAGGAAUUAGAGUAUAUGGGCAUCAAAGGAGUCAUCAAAACCUUAUCUUAAAAGUGCUAUUGUUAACGUUGGUGAUGGGGAAAAACCUAUCUUGUUCGUGGAUCUCUCUCAACCUUCGUUGAAACCAUAACCUUUUCAUGACUGUUGCAAAUCAAGCUGCAAAUCAGUUCAUUGAUCCUAUUCAAAAUUCUUAUAGUCCCUAUUAUUUGCACUCAAAUGUCUUUAAUUUUCAUAGGGCCAAGUUAUCAUUCUUGGUCGUGAUCAGAGAAAAUGGUGCUUCUGUCCAGGAGCAAACUUAGAUUUGUUGAUGGCUCUCUGACAGUUCUAGCGAUGACUGAUCCUUUAUAUCUAGCCUCGGAGCAUUGUAACACCAUGGUUAUUUCGUGGUUGAUUCAUUUCGAUUACUCACAGUGCAUUGCGGAUUAAUAAGGCUAUUGAUGUGUGGUAAGAUCUAGAGGAACAUUUUUCUUAGGAAGAUGUGUUGCAUAUUUCAGAUCUUCAAAAAGAGAUUUAUGCUCUCAAGCAAGGUGAGAGAUAUGUAAACUGAUUAUUCUAUGGAAUUAAAGAUACUAUGGGAUGAAUUGUUGAAAA